AAAAAAAAGGAGAGAGGGAGGAAGAGAGAGAGCGAUGGAAGGAGACAGGGAGGGCAAGAAAGCGGAGCGCCGCUUCCCGCUUCCCCUCGCCAGGUUGCUCGAGGAUCUCCAGGCAAACGGGCAGCCGCGCCCGCACUCGGGCGGCUCCCGAGAGCUCCCCCAGCUGCACUGCAUCGCCCCAGCCAGCCUGAAGGGAGAAGCAAACGAGGAGCAGAAGACCACGCACCCUCGUUCCACCCGCAGCUCAGUCCGGCUCUCUUCGCCUCCUCCCCGGCCUGCCAGGUCCUUCUCCCUUCAAAACUUUCUCUGAUGUUGUAUGCCGGGCUCGGGCGAGUGCUUCGUCUCUGCUUGCCUGCUCCGCCUGCUUGGCAGAUGAUUUACAGCUGUAGAGAGGUUUGUGUCGCUCUCCCUCGACGGCUGCGGGAGCUGACAGGGGCUGCGGCUGGAAGGGAGCCGACGAGGAGGGACAAGAAGCUGGAAGAAGUUAGGUUACUCUUGCCAGACGCCGGCUGGAAACCGCUUGGCAGGUCCCUGCCUCACUGCUUUUUCCUGAAGCGCCAAAAUCUCCUGCAAAAGUUGCCGAGAGCGUCACCGCUCCCCAGCCGGCCCCGGCACCGCACCGACCCCCGCUGGCCGGCUGGCCUGGGGCCGUCUCACCCCUCCCUGCCUGGCGGCUCUGCCGAGCGCGCGCCGUAUUUUCUUUCCCUUUGGCUUUCUAGGUUUUUCCCCUCCCCUCUUCACCAUUUCAUUCCCCUUCUGUUAAAAAAAAAAAAAAAAAAAAAAACAAAAAAAAAAAAAAAAAAGAGCCAAUUAAAGCGGCCGUGCUCGGAAGAGCCCAGCCUCCUGCCCAAUUCUGCGGGCCUCCCCUCGCCCCGGCCCCAUUAAGACAACACCGCAGGGCUGAGGAGAAAAAGGGACUUGCUUCGGGUAGAGAGAUCAGCCCUCAGCCCGGGGUCCCUCCAUCCCCAGGACACUCGCGGCAAGGUCGGCUUCUCCCGGGUGGGACUUGCGAUGCGAAAAGCCCAGAGGCGAGAGGGGGCUGGCAUAGGCAGCCAGGCAGUGCAGGUAGCCCAGAGGGGGUCUCCUGUUCCGGCUCUAGCAGGUGCCAGCAAAGUUUUUUGCCCCCCUCCACGCACUACAUCCAAGAAGGUCUCCAGGAUUCCUGAAGUAUGAUCUCUUCCUCCCCUCCCUCCCCACCACAUAUGGAAAAGAGUACAGCCCAGCUGGAAGCUUUGCUGCAGCAUUUCCCUUCCUUUGUCUCACUAAAUGGGGAUAGAAACAGAAAGUAAGGAAAAAGAAACACAACAGGGCACCGAAAGGCAAUGGGCAAAGCCAGGGUGACUCCAAAUGCUGCAGGAGAGACCAGAGAAGAAACGACAGAUCAUAUAACCUGCUGGGAACCUCCACCUCCUCCAUCCUCUGGCUGGCAGAGGUUGAAGUUUGAUUGACUUCUCAGUUACAUCUAGUCCUCAGAAGAAAGAGAAAAACGGCUAAUCAUGCUAGCUGAUACUAGAGCCAGGGACUCUGAUGGCUGUGGCUAUUACCGCUUCCAGAGUGACGUGCUGGGCACACAUGCUUGACAGGUGACCUCGCACUGAGCCGUGGAGGUGUUGGGAGCAACCAGCUCUACCACACACCAGUGUUCAGUACCUCACAGAGGGGUGAGACAUGGCUAAAGCCCAAUACAGGGCCACUGGAGUCUAGAUAGGGCUUGGUUUAAUUAUUUUAUAGGCAGCUCUUUUUUUAAAGAUUGAAAAUGUAACCCCCUCUGUUGCAACUUCCCAUGAGGGGCUCAUCAGUAUUUUCGUGCACGUCUCCUUGUGUCUCGAGUGUGUCUCAGGUGUUGCACGCUCACCCUGUGGGUUGCUACAAAAGUUUCUCCAUGAAGCUCCCCAGGUCGCUGUGCUCUGGUGAAGGGUGAAGUGAUUUUCCUUGCUAAACCAAUCCCUGCAUCCACAUUUCCCUGGGAAAAUGAGAUGAUGGUUUUGAGCAACAGCAGCAGACUUCCCUAUCAGAGAAGUCAAAAAGGAAAAAUUAGUGGAAAAUAGCAUAAUUUUUAUAUGGAUCAAAUCAUUCAUAGAUUGCGGAGACAGAAGGAAACACUGCUGGUCUGACCUCACGUUCUAAUCAGAGUGCAUUGUGAGGAACAACCUCCAGCCCUGAUUUCUGACAAGCCAAUAACAAACCAUUCAUUUGUAUUUCACACAGAGCAGUGCCAUAUUCCAUCAGGAUGCACAAGCUGGUAUUCUGAAGGAACAAUACACAUUUGGGAUUGGAUUUACAGCUGUUAGUUAGCCCUCAGGUUUGCAGGUAAACCACAAUAUCUGACUUACUGGAACUUAUCAUGGCAUGUGAUACCAACACUGAGGAAUAAAUGCCGCUGAUUUCCCCUCUCUGAUUUUUCCUGGUCUCUGGCAUCAGGCCUGUGGAACCCCCCUUGCAGGGAACUGGAAGGGUUGGAGGGGCUGAUAGGAAGGUGGGGGAGGAAGAAGGUGAAAUUUGCCUCCCUCUGCCUGAGGAGCUGGUCCAGCUGCCCUGGGCAUUCGUGGUCUUGGGGAUAACAUGGAGUCUGAGCACCUCAGCUGACAAGAGGUGAGCUCAUCCCUGCUCCAAACAUCCUGUGUGAGGUGUCUUGUGUUAAAUUCUCUUCUUCCUUCACCAUGUCUGGAGAAAAGUACCUCUGAGCCCCCUAAAACUGUGGACAUUUUGAUGGAAGAUGCCUGAGAAAGAAUAUUUCACAGGAACCAAGAAAUGCCUAUUUCUCUGGACAAUGAGCAUUGGUCAAUAAAGAAAUUACCAAUAGAAAUUUUA